UACGGGGGGGGCAAGCGUUGUUCGGAAUUACUGGGCGUAAAGGGCGCGUAGGCGGCCUGUUAAGUCGGAUGUGAAAUCCCUCGGCUCAACCGAGGAACUGCAUCCGAUACUGGCGGGCUGGAAUCCGGGAGAGGGAUGUGGAAUUCCAGGUGUAGCGGUGAAAUGCGUAGAUAUCUGGAGGAAUACCGGUGGCGAAGGCGGCAUCCUGGACCGACAUUGACGCUGAGGAGCGAAAGCUAGGGGAGCAAACGGG
rnacentral:rRNA from 1 species